UACGUAGGGUGCAAGCGUUAAUCGGAAUUACUGGGCGUAAAGCGUGCGCAGGCGGUUUCGUAAGUCUGUCGUGAAAUCCCCGGGCUUAACCUGGGAAUGGCGAUGGAGACUGCGAGGCUAGAGUUUGGCAGAGGGGGGUAGAAUUCCACGUGUAGCAGUGAAAUGCGUAGAGAUGUGGAGGAACACCGAUGGCGAAGGCAGCCCCCUGGGUCAAAACUGACGCUCAUGCGCGAAAGCGUGGGGAGCAAACAGG
rnacentral:rRNA from 1 species